UGGACACACAGCUUCCUCUUCCCCAGCCUCAGUCUCCCUACCCAUAAAUUGGUGCCAUAAUGGUUGCCAUCACCUGGAGUUGCUGUGAGGGCCCCUUGGCACAGCAUCUGGCACACAGUAGGCACCCAACACAGAUGAGCUGUUACUGCCAGCAUUCCCAUCACUCUGACUCAAAGCUCUGCACUGUCUGGAACUCAGUCUCACCCCUCCUCUGUAAGGCAGGCCAUGACUCCGGACCCGCCGUGUACCAGCACUAACUGUUUUCUACCCAGUGAUUGUUUAUUUAACUGUCCUCCUAAAGUAACUCCUCAGCCAUCAAAGGGCUGUUUACAAAGCCCACAAUUAGCCUUCUUGGAACAACAAAUAAACAGAAACCUAAUUAGGCAUGUUUCUCCUGGCUCAAGGCACGGCAACCCCAAGGCUUGGGCAUCACAGCUGUCAUUCAAAUAGACAUUUGUGGGCUGUAUGGAUGAAUGGAUGUGUAGAUGGAUGUGAGGAUGAGUGGGUGGGUGGGCGGAUGAAUGGAUGGAUGGAUGUGUGGGUGGAUGAGUGGAUGGAUGAAUGGGUGGGCGGACGGUUGGAUGGAUGGAUUGGAGGUUGGAAGGAAGGAGAGGUGGAUAGAUGAUAUUUGAACUGAUGGACAGAUGGAUGAAUGGAAGGUUGAAUAGAUAGAAGGCAGGAGGAAUAGAAGAAUGGAUGGGUGGAUGAAUAGAAGGACAGGUGGAGGGAAGUCUUGAUGGGUGGAGGGAUGGCUGAGAGUUGGAUGGAAAGGAUAGAUGGAAUAAUGGAAGGACAGAUGGAGAGAUGUUUGGAUGGCGGAUGAAUGUGUGGAUGAGUAGGUAGGUGGAGGUAUGGGUAAAGGAAUGAAAAGAUGGACUGGUGAGUUCAGGUUAGUGGAAGGCCAGAGGGAGAGGGUGAUGUGAACUGAGGCUCCAGGCUUUUUCCUGCGUCUCCU
rnacentral:lncRNA from 10 species